AUCGCUUCUCGGCCUUUUGGCUAAGAUCAAGUGUAGAGCUUUGAAUAGUAUAAUAAUAUUAUUUUGAUAGUAAUAACAAUAAACAAUCGCUAGCAUUAAUGAGAGCUUAGUGUAUGCCAGUCACCAUGCUAAGUGCUCUAGAUGCUU
ensembl:snRNA U2 U2 spliceosomal RNA